rnacentral:rRNA from 1 species
UGGGGAAUAUUGCACUAUGGGCGCAAGCCUGAUGCAGCCAUGCCGCGUGUGUGAAGAAGGCCUUCGGGUUGUAAAGCACUUUCAGCGAGGAGGAAGGGUAGUGUGUUAAUAGCACAUUGCAUUGACGUUACUCGCAGAAGAAGCACCGGCUAACUCCGUGCCAGCAGCCGCGGUAAUACGGAGGGUGCAAGCGUUAAUCGGAAUUACUGGGCGUAAAGCGCACGCAGGCGGUUUGUUAAGUCAGAUGUGAAAUCCCCGCGCUUAACGUGGGAACUGCAUUUGAAACUGGCAAGCUAGAGUCUUGUAGAGGGGGGUAGAAUUCCAGGUGUAGCGGUGAAAUGCGUAGAGAUCUGGAGGAAUACCGGUGGCGAAGGCGGCCCCCUGGACAAAGACUGACGCUCAGGUGCGAAAGCGUGGGGAGCAAACA